GAUGAACGCUGGCGGCGUGCCUAAUACAUGCAAGUCGAGCGAACAGACGAGGAGCUUGCUCCUCUGACGUUAGCGGCGGACGGGUGAGUAACACGUGGAUAACCUACCUAUAAGACUGGGAUAACUUCGGGAAACCGGAGCUAAUACCGGAUAAUAUAUUGAACCGCAUGGUUCAAUAGUGAAAGACGGUUUUGCUGUCACUUAUAGAUGGAUCCGCGCCGCAUUAGCUAGUUGGUAAGGUAACGGCUUACCAAGGCAACGAUGCGUAGCCGACCUGAGAGGUGGAUCGGCCACACUGAAACUGAGACACGGUCAAGACCCCUAGGGGAGCAGGCGGUAGGGAAUCUUCGGCAAGGGGCGAAACCUUGACGGAGCAACGCGGGGUGAGUGAUGAAGGUCUUCGGUUCGUAAACUCUGUUAUUAGGGAAGAACAAAUGUGUAAGUAACUAUGCACGUCUUGACGGUACCUAAUCAGAAAGCCACGGCUAACUACGUG
rnacentral:rRNA from 1 species